UGGGAUUUGUUGGGAGAGCGUUUUAGGAAAGAUGGGUUAAAAACAAAAAAAGGUUGGUGUGAAACUGGAAUAGUGCAUGAGGCUAAUUAAUCAUCUCCCUGAAUGUACCAGCAGAGAAGCAUGGUGGCACAGCGUCGGAGGAUGUAAAUUCUGGCACGUUGCUCCUUCACCAAGGAAGCACACUUCCGUGUGAAGCCAUGGCCCUUUAUCUUUGAACGGCCACAUGCAUUAUUACUGUUGAACUGUUGCUUUAGGUCAGCCAUGGAUGUUGUAUAAUUGAGGAUUUUCAAAGAAAAAAUGGAAAGCCAAGGGGAAAAAAAGCUCACAGUGUGGGAGCUAGACCCUGAGUGGGGCAAAGUAGAGGCCUCAUGUAUUUAUAGUAUACCAAGAAAAAGGGUUGACUAGGUUUGGAGAGGGAGGGGGGUUGAACAUGGUCAGUUUCCAAAAUUGAGGGAUCUAAAU
rnacentral:lncRNA from 1 species